rnacentral:rRNA from 1 species
AUUGAACGCUGGCGGCAGGCCUAACACAUGCAAGUCGAACGAGUGGCGGACGGGUGAGUAAUGCCUGGGAAACUGCCUGAUGGCGGGGGAUAACUACUGGAAACGGUAGCUAAUACCGCAUACCAUCAGAUGUGCCCAGAUGGGAUUAGCUAGUUGGUGGGGUAACGGCUCACAAAGGCGACGCUCCCUAGCUGGUCUGAUAGGAAGACCAGCCACACUGGAACUGAGACACGGGCCAGACUCCGACGGGAGGCAGCAGUGGGGAAUAUUGCACAAUGGGCGCAAGCCUGAGGCAGCCAUGCGGGGUGUAUGAAGAAGGCCUUCGGGUUGUAAAGUACUUUCAGCGGGGAGGCGUUACCCGCAGAAGAAGAACCGGCUAACUCCGUGCCAGCAGCCGCGGUAAUUC